GGGAAUCUGCCCUUGGGUUCGGAAUAACAGUUAGAAAUGACUGCUAAUACCGGAUGAUGUCUUCGGACCAAAGAUUUAUCGCCCAGGGAUGAGCCCGCGUCGGAUUAGCUAGUUGGUGAGGUAAAGGCUCACCAAGGCGACGAUCCGUAGCUGGUCUGAGAGGAUGAUCAGCCACACUGGGACUGAGACACGGCCCAGACUCCUACGGGAGGCAGCAGUGGGGAAUAUUGGACAAUGGGCGAAAGCCUGAUCCAGCAAUGCCGCGUGAGUGAUGAAGGCCUUAGGGUUGUAAAGCUCUUUUACCCGGGAUGAUAAUGACAGUACCGGGAGAAUAAGCCCCGGCUAACUCCGUGCCAGCAGCCGCGGUAAUACGGAGGGGGCUAGCGUUGUUCGGAAUUACUGGGCGUAAAGCGCACGUAGGCGGCUUUGUAAGUUAGAGGUGAAAGCCCGGAGCUCAACUCCGGAACUGCCUUUAAGACUGCAUCGCUAGAAUCAUGGAGAGGUCAGUGGAAUUCCGAGU
rnacentral:rRNA from 1 species